CAGCAGCCGCGGUAAUACGUAGGUGGCGAGCGUUGUCCGGAUUUAUUGGGCGUAAAGGGAGUGUAGGCGGUCUUUUAAGUCUGAUGUGAAAGCCCACGGCUCAACCGUGGAGGGUCAUUGGAAACUGGGAGACUUGAGUGCAGAAGAGGAGAGCGGAAUUCCAUGUGUAGCGGUGAAAUGCGUAGAUAUAUGGAGGAACACCAGUGGCGAAGGCGGCUCUCUGGUCUGUAACUGACGCUGAGGCUCGAAAGCGUGGGGAGCAAACAGGAUUAGAUACCCCAGUAGUCCCUGUCUCUUAUAC
rnacentral:rRNA from 1 species